rnacentral:lncRNA from 1 species
UUUUGAUGCCUUGGUUGAUUGCUCCGAUACGCAUCCGAAACAUAUCAUUUCUUAUCUUUAAAGUGUACUAAUAUUGGUCCAAAUGAUGUGUCUUUCGAUGAUCUUGAUUGCAAACAAAAAUUUCUAAAUAUAUGAUUUUAUUUUGAUAUUAAACUUUGUGCUUCAUUGAAUAUCUUUUGAAAGUUGGAUUUCCAUCUAUAUUCAUCGGUAAAUCAUUUAUUUCUGAAAAUUUAAUUGAAAAGGAUUCCAUCUGUCUUAGUUUCGAAAAUUUAUCUUGGAAUCUACUUAUGAGUUCUUAUUGGCUUGCACUUUAGUGUUUCAAUCCUGAGCCAAUUCAUUUUAAUUGAUUUUGAUGCUAUGAUCUUUAAAGGAGUAAAAGAAAGUCU